ACACGGUGAACCUCCGCGGCCAGCUCUGUCCUCAGGAGGUCUUGCACGUAGGUCUAGGGGCGGGCCUUGCUGUGAGACCGCCCAGGCCAGGGGCGUGCCCGGGCACCUCUGAAGAGGUGGACAGACUCUAUUCUUUUUAGCCCGCUGCCUCUCAGGCUUCAGUCCUACCCGGGGAUCAAACGCCUUCCGGAAGAGCCUUCCCAGCUGCUGUGCGUAGCUCUGGGCCCGGCCAGUCUCAGAGCCAUACAGAAUGGUCGCCUUCACACGCUUCGCCAUCACCGUGCCCAUGAGUGAGGCAGAGAUCUUCACUGCACUGUAGGACGAGGUUGUCCUGGUGUCUAGAUCCAUGCAGACAGCCACAUCCUGUGUCAAGUUGAAGGGAAGUGGCAAGGGAGUGGCUCCUGCCUCCAGGUUUCUGUGAGUUCCUGCGCUGACUUCCUUCAGGAACGGAGGAACCUAUGAGUCGAUAGAGGAAAGAAAUCCUUUCCUCCCCAAAUUACUUUUGGUCAGUGUUUUAUCACGGCACUAGAAAGCAAAGUAGUACACCACCUCAGUGAUCUCCACGUUGGCAGGGUCCCCUCGCACGGAGCCAUCCUGCUGCCUAUAGCCCGCAUAACGUAUCAGCUGGCUGUUCCAGAUCCUGAAGUCUCCCCGGCCAGGGCAGCGCUGUGGGAACACUGUGAUGGCUGAGCUGACAAGGGGAACGAAACUGGUUAGAGCCGCUUCACUGUUGCCUGGGGUGGGUUUGGGCCCGGGGCAGGGUCACUCACCGAAGAUUGCCUCUAUUUGUUGCAUACUUAAUGUGGUUACAGAUGUAGGUGAACAUUUCCUGUGCAGUCCUGCAGUCCCGAGCAUCAAAUACCUGGGCCCAAGGAGGACGGUCCAAGGAUGCAGGAAAGAGAUGAGGGUUUGACUGUCAGCUCUAGAGGAGUGCUGGCGUGGGGCUUGCUGGGAAGGAGGCAGGGUCUGGAGGAGCUACCCACCGCCCAUGUGACCAGUGCUUUCAACAUUCAUGCCCUGCUGACCCUCUUCUAACAGCCUUGUUUGCCCAGCACAGCCUGAUUUUUCCAGGUCUCCUCUCCCCGUUCCCCUCAGGGCAGACUUGAAAACCAGCACAGAGGAGNNNNNNNNGGGUGGUGGGUGGGGAUUCCUAGUUGAUCGGUACUGAGAGCUCAUCCAAGGCAGGUAAGCAUCCAGUUCCCUCCAGUCAGAGCGGUGAUGGGAAGGGGGAGGGAGGUGGGUGCACUACACAGCUCUAGGGACCACGCCAGAGGCAUUCUGAUACGAGGAGAAGGCUGGGAAGUCCUAUCCCACCUGAGGGAGAAGGCGAUUUGUGACAGGAUAGGGGGUGGCAGUGGUGACCAGUGGCCAAGGGAGGGACACAGCAGUGAGUGGAGCCUAUUAUGGAAGCUUGAUGGGUCACUUAAAGGGCUGGGCGGUGGCGGGCAGAGUGCUCUUAUUUUAUUGGAGCGUCUUUGGCGUCACCAAGCACAUGGCUUUUCUCCAUUGUCUUUUAGCAGCCGAGGCGGCCAAGGUCAUGGGUUCAGUUCCCCUGUUAGUGCUGAGGCUGUUCCAGUAACCCAGGCUGGUUCUGUAGUGCAUACUAGCGUGAAGGAGGUGUGGGACUGGGGCCACCGGGGACCUCAGGGGAAGUGGGUAUGAGGUGAAGGCCUGGCAGUAUGUACUCAGAGAGCCUCAAUAAUCUGAUUGCUUCAGCCAAUAGGCUGAGGAUUAUCCAGGAGUGCCAAGGAGGGAGCUGGUCUCCUUAGCAGUUGUCUCUAAGGGCAAUGUGGAACAAGGACCCUUCCACUGCCUCACAUCCGUCCCUCAGGGAGGCCUCAGGAGCUUCCUGGAUCCUUCCUCUCCCGGUUCUGUCCCCUGGUACCUAUCACGGGCCAGCUGGUUAUACCUGCAGCUUUCCCCACUGGAUCCGGCCCACGCAGCGGGGAGCAUUGCGCCAGGCCUGCUUGGCCCCAAACACCAGCUCGCUCUCCCGGAGCUGGUAGGUGCCUGUGGCUGCCACCUCAGCUUCCACUUCCUGAAGCCGCUGUUCAUGAGCCUGGGAGCCACUCCUGGGGAGAAGGGGGGAGGGGGGGCACGAGCCUUGGUCUCAGGAUGGUGAAACGGCUGGGGAGUGAGGUGUGAGUGGCGAUCUAGAGGCUUCUCCACUCAAGUGUCAGGGUGUUGGGGUGCAGGGGACCCACCUUUUGAUGGAGUUAUAGUACUGAUUGAUGAAGUCCCGGGCUUGACCCAAUAGCUGCUCAGUGGGUGAGGGGCCCUGGGUGGGCCGGCUCUGUAACUUUCUUGGAAACACCAGGGAUCCCAAGCAGCGUCUUGGGGUACAGGGCCCAUCCUGAGCCAGAACAGGGGACACAGAGCCAGGAUCGGGUCAGAGUACAGGAUGAGCAAGCUGGGGUUAGCAAGGGCAGAGGGAGGCAGGCUCGGGAAAGCAAGGGCUCAGAGCAGGGCCGACAGUGGAAAUGGAAUGAGAUCAGGUUGCUUAGGGCUCGGGGCUCAGGGCCAAAGACUUGCUGAAGUUCUUGCAAUGUCCCUUGACCCCUCUGGUCCUUCCUGGCUUUCACUACUCUCUGCAGACAUGGGCCAAAUGUGAACAAAGUGGAGUUUCUUGGUUUGAGUCCCGAUCUAGCACCAGGCCUAGAAACACGGGCAGGACCUGUCCUUACCUGCUGAGCCUGGGCACUGAGGGUGUCGUAGGUGAUGCUGCCCACUUCCCAGUUCUUCACGCGAGGAAACCUGGGUCCGUCUGGGGGCCGGGUUAGCGGGGGGCUGUUGUGGACCAGGGAUGCAUAGAGUCACGGGAGAGAAGGUUGUCGCCUUUAGGCCUUCCCAUCAUUGUUCAAGGACAGCACUGUACAGCAUCAGUAACCCUACAGGAUCGUUGCCCACCCUCCUCUUCCUGACACGGUCAGCUCUCACAACAGCCUUAGGAGGUGGGCAGUACCUUCCAUGCCCUCACUUACAAAGGCUUCAAGGCAUGGACAAACGACGCACCCAGCAAGAGAGUUGAAGCUGUGCUGUGAGCCAGCCACUAUCUAGUUUGCCAGUGCUCAGCCACCUGGCCACCCUCUAGGCCUGGAGUGCUGGUGGCCCAGACUGGUCCUUACUCCCUGCGCAGAGCCUAUUUUGUCUCUUUUACAUCUGAAGUUCUUUUAGUCUGAAUGUGUUUCCUAGUUUUAUUAAGUUGGGAGUUUGGAUCCGAGAGAAGAAUGGAGAAGCUGUGAUAGAGUGGAGAGGUGGUAGAUUCCUCCUGCCAUGGCAGACUGGCUGCUGGGUUCUAGUGGAGUACCUUUGCUAUUUAAAAAAAUAAAAAAAUAAAAAGCGAGCGCUUG
rnacentral:lncRNA from 1 species